UUAAAUUGAAGAGUUUGAUCAUGGCUCAGAUUGAACGCUGGCGGCAGGCCUAACACAUGCAAGUCGAACGGUAACAGGAAGAAGCUUGCUUCUUUGCUGACGAGUGGCGGACGGGUGAGUAAUGUCUGGGAAACUGCCUGAUGGAGAGGGAUAACUACUGGAAACGGUAGCUAAUACCGCAUAACGUCGCAAGACCAAAGAGGGGGACCUUCGGGCCUCUUGCCAUCGGAUGUGCCCAGAUGGGAUUAGCUAGUAGGUGGGGUAACGGCUCACCUAGGCGACGAUCCCUAGCUGGUCUGAGAGGAUGACCAGCCACACUGGAACUGAGACACGGUCCAGACUCCUACGGGAGGCAGCAGUGGGGAAUAUUGCACAAUGGGCGCAAGCCUGAUGCAGCCAUGCCGCGUGUAUGAAGAAGGCCUUCGGGUUGUAAAGUACUUUCAGCGGGGAGGAAGGGAGUAAAGUUAAUACCUUUGCUCAUUGACGUUACCCGCAGAAGAAGCACCGGCUAACUCCGUGCCAGCAGCCGCGGUAAUACGGAGGGUGCAAGCGUUAAUCGGAAUUACUGGGCGUAAAGCGCACGCAGGCGGUUUGUUAAGUCAGAUGUGAAAUCCCCGGGCUCAACCUGGGAACUGCAUCUGAUACUGGCAAGCUUGAGUCUCGUAGAGGGGGUAGAAUUCCAGGUGUAGCGGUGAAAUGCGUAGAGAUCUGGAGGAAUACCGGUGGCGAAGGCGGCCCCCUGGACGAAGACUGACGCUCAGGUGCGAAAGCGUGGGGAGCAAACAGGAUUAGAUACCCUGGUAGUCCACGCCGUAAACGAUGUCGACUUGGAGGUUGUGCCCUUGAGGCGUGGCUUCCGGAGCUAACGCGUUAAGUCGACCGCCUGGGGAGUACGGCCGCAAGGUUAAAACUCAAAUGAAUUGACGGGGGCCCGCACAAGCGGUGGAGCAUGUGGUUUAAUUCGAUGCAACGCGAAGAACCUUACCUGGUCUUGACAUCCACGGAAGUUUUCAGAGAUGAGAAUGUGCCUUCGGGAACCGUGAGACAGGUGCUGCAUGGCUGUCGUCAGCUCGUGUUGUGAAAUGUUGGGUUAAGUCCCGCAACGAGCGCAACCCUUAUCCUUUGUUGCCAGCGGUCCGGCCGGGAACUCAAAGGAGACUGCCAGUGAUAAACUGGAGGAAGGUGGGGAUGACGUCAAGUCAUCAUGGCCCUUACGACCAGGGCUACACACGUGCUACAAUGGCGCAUACAAAGAGAAGCGACCUCGCGAGAGCAAGCGGACCUCAUAAAGUGCGUCGUAGUCCGGAUUGGAGUCUGCAACUCGACUCCAUGAAGUCGGAAUCGCUAGUAAUCGUGGAUCAGAAUGCCACGGUGAAUACGUUCCCGGGCCUUGUACACACCGCCCGUCACACCAUGGGAGUGGGUUGCAAAAGAAGUAGGUAGCUUAACCUUCGGGAGGGCGCUUACCACUUUGUGAUUCAUGACUGGGGUGAAGUCGUAACAAGGUAACCGUAGGGGAACCUGCGGUUGGAUCACCUCCUUACCUUAAAGAA
rnacentral:rRNA from 1 species